GACUCCUACGGGAGGCAGCAGUGGGGAAUAUUGCACAAUGGGCGCAAGCCUGAUGCAGCAACGCCGCGUGAGGGAUGACGGCCUUCGGGUUGUAAACCUCUUUUAGUAGGGAAGAAGCGCAAGUGACGGUACCUGCAGAAAAAGCACCGGCUAACUACGUGCCAGCAGCCGCGGUAAUACGUAGGGUGCAAGCGUUGUCCGGAAUUAUUGGGCGUAAAGAGCUCGUAGGCGGCUUGUCGCGUCUGCUGUGAAAACUGGAGGCUCAACCUCCAGCCUGCAGUGGGUACGGGCAAGCUAGAGUGCGGUAGGGGAGAUUGGAAUUCCUGGUGUAGCGGUGGAAUGCGCAGAUAUCAGGAGGAACACCGAUGGCGAAGGCAGAUCUCUGGGCCGUAACUGACGCUGAGGAGCGAAAGCAUGGGGAGCGAACAGGAUUAGAUACCCUGGUAGUCCAUGCCGUAAACGUUGGGAACUAGAUGUAGGGCCUGUUCCACGGGUUCUGUGUCGUAGCUAACGCAUUAAGUUCCCCGCCUGGGGAGUACGGCCGCAAGGCUAAAACUCAAAGGAAUUGACGGGGGCCCGCACAAGCGGCGGAGCAUGCGGAUUAAUUCGAUGCAACGCGAAGAACCUUACCAAGGCUUGACAUAUACGAGAACGGGCGAGAGAUCGUCAACUCUUUGGACACUCGUAAACAGGUGGUGCAUGGUUGUCGUCAGCUCGUGUCGUGAGAUGUUCGGUUAAGUCCGGCAACGAGCGCAACCCUCGUCCUAUGUUGCCAGCACGUUAUGGUGGGAACUCAUGGGAUACUGCCGUGGUCAACACGGAGGAAGGUGGGGAUGACGUCAAAUCAUCAUGCCCCUUAUGUCUUGGGCUUCACGCAUGCUACAAUGGCCGAUACAAAGGGCUGCGAUACCGCGAGGUGGAGCGAAUCCCAAAAAGUCGGUCUCAGUUCGGAUUGGGGUCUGCAACUCGACCCCAUGAAGUCGGAGUCGCUAGUAAUCGCAGAUCAGCAACGCUGCGGUGAAUACGUUCCCGGGCCUUGUACACACCGCCCGUCAAGUCAUGAAAGUCGGUAACACCCGAAGCCGGUGGCCUAACCCUUGUGGAGGGAGCCGUCGAAGGUGGGACUGGUGAUUAGGACUAAGUCGUAACAAGGUAACCG
rnacentral:rRNA from 3 species